rnacentral:rRNA from 1 species
UACGUAGGGGGCAAGCGUUGUCCGGAUUUAUUGGGCGUAAAGAGCGUGUAGGCGGCCUGAAAGGUCAGCUGUGAAAACUCGAGGCUCAACCUCGAGACGUCGGUUGAAACCAUCUGGCUAGAGUCCGGAAGAGGAGUGUGGAAUUCCCGGUGUAGCGGUGAAAUGCGUAGAUAUCUGGAGGAACACCGGUGGCGAAGGCGGCAUCCUGGACCAACACUGACACUGAGGAGCGAAAGCCAGGGGAGCAAACGGG